rnacentral:ribozyme from 1 species
AAAAAUGAAACCCCCGGAUCCUGAUGCUCGAGGAUGACCUCAAACCAACCCAAAAUGCCGUCAUUUUCAGGCGUCAGUUGUGAACCAGGAUCAAGUCGGACGAAACACUUACGAAUAUUUUGAAC